CACACGACUCUCGGCAACGGAUAUCUCGGCUCUCGCAUCGAUGAAGAACAUAGCAAAAUGCGAUACCUGGUGUGAAUUGCAGAAUCCUGCGAACCAUCGAGUUUUUGAACGCAAGUUGCGCCCGAGGCCUUCUGGCUGAGGGCACGCCUGCCUGGGCGUCAUGC
rnacentral:rRNA from 1 species